UCAGAGCGAACGCUGGCGGCAGGCCUAACACAUGCAAGUCGAACGGACCCUUCGGGGUUAGUGGCGGACGGGUGAGUAACACGUGGGAACGUGCCUUUAGGUUCGGAAUAGCUCCUGGAAACGGGUGGUAAUGCCGAAUGUGCCCUUCGGGGGAAAGAUUUAUCGCCUUUAGAGCGGCCCGCGUCUGAUUAGCUAGUUGGUGAGGUAAUGGCUCACCAAGGCGACGAUCAGUAGCUGGUCUGAGAGGAUGACCAGCCACAUUGGGACUGAGACACGGCCCAAACUCCUACGGGAGGCAGCAGUGGGGAAUCUUGCGCAAUGGGCGAAAGCCUGACGCAGCCAUGCCGCGUGAAAUGAUGAAGGUCUUAGGAUUGUAAAAUUCUUCACCGGGGACGAUAAUGACGGUA
rnacentral:rRNA from 1 species